UUUCACCUUCAAAAUACUAGUUUUCUCCAAAGCUCCAUUUUAAUUUUAGCAGCUUUAGUACUCCUAAUCAUCAUCAUAUUUCAGACCAAGAAUGGAGGAAAAUUUGAAAACUGCAGCUCAAAAUGGAGACAUCAACAUGAUUUACAAAUUACUUGGGGAGGAUCCAUAUGUUCUGGAUAGCAUCGAUGAUGUUCCAUAUAUUGAUACGCCUUUGCAUAUAGCAGCUUCUUUUGGUCAUGUUCAGUUUGUGAGGGAGAUUAUGAGAUUGAAACCAUCAUUUGCUCGGAAACUAAACCAAGAUGGGUUUAGCCCCAUGCAUUUGGCCUUGCAGAAUGGUCAAACCAAGAUGGUUCUUGGAUUUCUAAACUAUGAAAGCGAUCUUGUUCAGGUUCAAGGGAGAGAGGGUAAAACUUCUCUUCAUUAUGUAGCUGAACAAGGAGAUGUUGAUCUCUUGACUAAAUUCUUAUCAGCUUGCCCUCAGAGUAUCCAAAAUGUGACCAUUCAAAAUGAGACUGCUUUGCAUAUUGCAGUGAAGAAUCACAAGGUUGAUACUCUUGAUUUCUUGCUUGGAGGACUACGUUGAGCAUACCAUCAAGGUUCUCACAUCCAAGAGAGAAUAAUCAUAAACUGGAAGGAUGAUGAAGGGAACACUGUGCUCCACUUGGCAACCGCUCUGAAUCAACCACAGGCAGUGAGAUUGCUAAUAAAUUGUAAUAUUGAAGUAAAUGUCAAGAACUCAAUGGGUUUGACUGCUCUAGAUAUCUCAGAUCCUAACAGCGGACAAGUUAGAGAAACUCUACUCAAAGCUGGAGCUUUAAAUGCUCAAUCACUUCCCCAAGUUUCCAACAACUCCAGAGAUCGUCUGAGAUCAAAUUUGUCAUCCAAUGAAGGUGCUGUAACAUCUCUUACUCGUAGUAGAAAUAAUGUAAGUAAUGAUACACGCAAUGUGUUCCUAGUAGUUGCAACGCUGAUUGUUACGGCGACAUUCUAGGCUGCACUAACUCCCCCUGCAAGUAUUUGGCUAGACUGCAACAACGACAAUAACAAUAACAACAAUGUUCUGAACAUAACUCUAGUUAACACUACAAGUAGAAUUAAUACUACUGAAAUUUAGAUCAAUAAAAAUGAAGUAAGUUCAAAAGCACACCAACUAUGGACACUAACGAAGGCAGGUUUAAAUAAAUUUUACAUGCUAUUAAACGGCGUAACGUUUUUUGGUACCAUAACGAUUAUCUAUUUCCUUUUCCCUACUGGGAAAAUAAAGGACCUGCUGUUCUUCCCUAUACUUAGUUUUGUGAUGUGCUAUAUAUAUUCUUGGGUAAUCCCUUGUCCCAACAAAAUCAUUUUUCCUUUGUCAAUUUUGCUGCUAUAUUUAUUAUAUCAUAUUUGGAUGAUGGGGAAGCUUAUAACCAUCAAAAUUUUUCUAAAAAGUCUUAAGCCAGAUUCUGUGAGAGAUCGUUAAAAUGAUUAGUGAGUGCUAUUGUAUUAUCUGUUUUUUGGUCCCAAUGUAUGUACGAGGUAGGAACCACAGAAUGUUGUGCUGGAACCACAGAAUGUUGUGCUGGAACCACAGAAUGUUGUGCCGUGUAUUCCUAAUGAUAUGAUCAAAUGUUGUAUUCUAUGGAAUAUUUUGGAAUGGAAAUUUUAUUUAUUUGGCUACUGAGAAUGGGGACAUCAACAUGAUUUACAUUUCACUUUCGGAGGAUCCAUAUCUCCUGGAUCAUAUCGAUCAUGUUCUAUUUAUUCAUACUCCUUUGCAUAUAGCAGCUUCUUCCUGUCCCGUUCAGUUUGUAAAGGAGAUAAUGAGAUUGUAUCCGUCAUUUGCUCGGAAACUAAAUCAAGAAGGGUUCAGCCCCAUGCAUGCAGCAUUGCACGAUGGUCAAACCAAAGUGGUUCUUGGAUUUCUAGACACUGAAAGUGAACUUGUUCUGGUUCAAGGCAGGGAAGGUAGAACUCCUCUCCAAUAUGUGGCUGAACAAGGAGAUGUUGAUCUCUUGAUUAAGUUAUCAUCAGAUUGCCCUUAAAGUAUCCAAGAUAAGACCAUUCAAAAUGAGACUGCUUUGCAUAUUGCAGUGAAAAAUCACAAGGUUGACACUCUUGAUUUCUUACUUUGAGAACUGCAAGAGCCUACCAUGAAGGUUCUGACAUCCAUGAGAGAAAAAUCAUAAACUGGAAGGAUGAUGAUGGGAACACUGUGCUCCACGUUGCAACCACUAAGAAUCAGCCCCAAGGAGUGACAUUCCAAGAACUCAAGAGGUUGCGUCACUGAUUGAACUCAAGAGGUAGUGAGCAUCCAAUUAAUAGUAUAUUGAAGUUAAUGUCAAGAACUCAAAGGUAUGAUUGCUCCAGAUAUUUCAAAUCCAAACAACAGACAAGUUAGGGAAACUCUACUUCAUGCCCAUGCUUUAGAUGCUCUUGGAGGAGCUUGGCAGGACGACAAUAACAAUACCUCGACCAACAACACUCUUAACAUAACUCUUCUCAUCACAACUAGCAAUCUUAAUAAUACCACAACAAUCUCAGAACCACACCAAGUAGGGAUGGUAACCAUGUCGAGUCACUCUGUACAUGUUUUCUUUGUCAUUAACAUCAUAACGCUACCUACUACUACACUGGUUAUCUAUUUCCUAAUCCCUAGAGAAGAAAUGAGUUGGCUGAUGAGAAUCCCUAUCCAUUUUUUCACCAUCUGCUAUAUGUUUUCUUGGCUAAUCAUAUCUCCUGAUACUACAAUAUUUGUUAUUGUAUUUUUUGGCACCGAUAUACCCAACAGGUUUAUUUGGUUACUCCAGCAAAUCCUUUAUUCUGGGGAAGUUAAUAAAAUCUGGAGACAGAUUCAGCGAGAUAGUUAAAAUGGGAGAAACCCGAGAAUGUAGGAUUAGUGUAUGGGAAUGGCUUCUUUUUUUUUAUGUGAAAAAAUAUAGGGCCUUGUAUCCAAAUAUAAGCACAAUUGUAAAUGGCCUAGCAGAAUACGUGUAUAUCAUCAUGUAAAUGGCCUAUCUUUUUCUAAUCUUAGGCGAGUAUAGAAAUUCAGGUUUAGGAUGAUUUUGCUUGUUGACUAUCUCUUGAAGGACAGUAAUCCCUUUGUUAAGAUACGCUAUUUUAAACUGAAUCAAGCCACUAAAAUAUACAUCAUUUGUUGGAUCUUUAGCAGUGAGAUUGUUAAUAAAUAAUAAAAGUGAAGUAAAUGUGAAGAACUCAGUGGAUUUGACUGCUCUAAAUAUCUCACAUCUUAGCAGCAGAUAAGUUAGAAAAACUCUACUUAGAGCUGGAGCUUUAGAUGCUCAAUCAGUUCCCAAGUUUCCAACAACUCCAUAGGUCAUCUAUGAUCCAAUCUAUCAUUCAAAGAAGAAUUUGUAAUAUCUUUUGCUCAUUUCAAAAACAAUACAAGGAAUGAUACUUGAAAUCUAUUACUAGUAGUUGCAGCGCUGGUUGUAAAGGCUAGU